UACUGAAGAUUAAAAAGGCCCCCUUUAAACUUACGUAAAUAGUUUUAUUUGUUAAUUCAAUUAUCUAUUGUUCAUAAAAUGAACUGAAACCGUUCGUGUCUGACUAAAUCUAUAAAAUUAUACUAAACUAAGUACAAAUGCACAGCUUUGAAACCGUUUUGAGGAAUUCUAUUUCGCAUUGACUUGAACGAAACACCAACGGAGCUCAACGCUUCGUUUAUAAACAUCAAUAUGGGACUUUUUUUCAAUUCUGCACAAUGUACAAGAAUAUAUGUUUUUCUAGUUCUGAUUUUUUGAAGAUGAAAUUUUUAUGCUGUUUUUCUAUUAAUACAGGUGGAUAUAUGAUGAAAAGGAGAGGGAAAUGGAUGUUAACCGAAACCCAGUCUUAAAAAUGAUGUACUAAAGUUUGAAUGACUUUUGGAAAAGUGAAAGAUUGGUUUCAUUCAGAUAUCGGGUACUCCGAUGGACGGACGAACAGGCGGAGGGAUGAAUAGACGAAAAUGGUUAAAUCGAUUACUCUCAUCAAUCUCAAGAUUUUGACAUACAUAUGUCCAUGUUUAACUCGUUUCCGUUAGUUUAUUACAAUACAGACAAACAUACAAAUGAGCGAAAACAGUGCCCAGUUAUUGAUGUUCUCGCCUAUUACAAAAAACAGAAAUUGUUUUUCUUAAGUUGAAUUCCAGCUGGACAUGAGUGGGUUAACAAUAUACCUGGUCAGAAAAACUGCUUGCGGCUCUAUACUGAUUGCUCAAAGCAGAUGGUUUUUAUGAGGAGCUUUUCUAUGGCUACAGAAAUACACUUCGAAGUUUGCCAUGCCACCAUACUAUAAAAAAACUAAAAUUCCACCGCUUGUUUUAAUACAAUACCUAAUAUUAGUUUGGGUAAAAAGAAGUCCAUUAUUUUUGCGUACAAUUUUUGGUGUAAAUGGUUCAAAACUGUUUUAUGGUCGAUCUUUAGCUCCUGGACAAUGCUACGACUACUAACAUGUCGGUCAACAUCGAUUAUUUGUGUGAUUUUAUCGACGCUUUAGACAUUAUUGACAUUUUAAUUAAUUUCAAAAAUGCCUCAACAGAUUCGACAAAAUCAAAAUUACACGCAAUUCGCUGUUACAGUCGGCACCAUUCACAAUUUCAGCGGCUUGGCUUGCAUGUUCGCCUUUACUAAAGAAAAAUUGUAAAAUGUACCGAAUUUUCUCUUCGUCGACUUCCAUUGUCAACACCUUCUAACUCACGGAAUGGGACAAACAAAAAACAGCAAAAGAAUGUUUUUAGUGUGACAUGUCACCUUGACAACGAGCAUAAACUUUAAAUUGUUUGAUCGGUACUUUACGAGAUAUCGAUCAUUACGGCCAUCUACCGAAUAAAUAAUGGAUUUCUUUAUCCCCAAAUUAAUACAUGGUCCAGUGAGUACACACAUGUACAUAUACAAAAACAACCUCUCUUAAUUUUCUUUCCAAUUGCGGAAUAUACAUAACCCGCUUCCAACUUUACUUGAAUUGUGUUUGGCAACUCUACUCUCCUCACUAUGUUAUUUCUGAUAAACUGCCGAAAUAUGGAAGACGAGAUACAUAAUCGUGAUGCAAGUACUGUCUAUGCAGUUAAUAUCAAGAAAAUACAUAUAGAAUAAAGGCAUUUUCCUUUCCAUGACGUGUGUGCAAGUAGCAAUCAAUUUAACUUAAAUGCUGUUGUUAGAGCUGAAUACGUAAGU